ACCAUCAAUAUUUAUAUAAUUGCAAACUUACUAAUCAGGCCACCUACAUUCACAUCCGGAAUUGAAU